rnacentral:rRNA from 1 species
AUACGGAAGGUCCGGGCGUUAUCCGGAUUUAUUGGGUUUAAAGGGAGCGCAGGCGGAGAUGCAAGCGUGACGUCAAAUUUCGGGGCUCAACCCCGUCUCGCGUCGCGAACUGCGUCCCUUGGUUGCGGGAAGGGGAGGCGGAACUCGUGGUGUAGCGGUGAAAUGCAUAGAUAUCACGAAGAACUCCGAUCGCGAAGGCAGCCUUCCGGCCCGUCAACGACGCUCAUGCUCGAAGGUGCUGGUAUCAAACAGGAUUAGAUACCCUGGUAGUCCGCACAGUAAACGAUGGACACCCGCGGUUUGGCCUAUAUGGCUGAGCCGCCAAGCGAAAGCGUUAAGUGUCCCACCUGGGGAGUACGCCGGCAACGGUGAAACUCAAAUGAAUUGACGGGG